CACGUAGGCAGCGAGCGUUGUUCGGAGUUACUGGGCGUAAAGGGUGCGUCGGCGGUUGUUUAAGUUUGGUGUGAAAUCUCCCGGCUCAACUGGGAGGGUGCGCCGAAUACUGAAUGACUAGAGUGCGGGAGAGGAUAGUGGAAUUCCUGGUGUAGCGGUGAGAUGCGUAGAUAUCAGGAGGAACACCGGUGGUGUAGACGGCUAUCUGGACCGUAACUGACGCUGAGGCACGAAAGCGUGGGUAGCAAACAGG
rnacentral:rRNA from 1 species